UUAAGGGGGAAAAAAACCCAACCAAACAAACUAAAAGAACAAACAACAACCAAAAAAACACCCCCCAAAAAAAUCCCAAAACAGAAAAAAUAUAACCAAAAACAGCCGUCGAAAAGAAACUUCAGCUUUGUGGGGAAAUUCUCAAAAUUCAAUGCAACCUCCGCCCGCCGCCGAAACUGGACGUAUGAGCAGAGGGUUUUCAACUGGAGAGGGAAAACAGGAAAACGAGAGGUGAGAAUCACCCCCGCGCACCCCCAAACAAACCCUUCCCUUGCUCGGGUGGGUGUCCCGUGUCUCCGUGACCCGAGGCUCCAAGAAAAGGGGUCCAACACCUUUUUUGGGGGGGUAAUUCCUCAUCUUUCAGGCACAGCCGGGACCGCUCCCGUCCCUGCCCCGCCCGGGAUCCAAAGGAAUUCCCAGGGUCGAGGUUUACAGGGACUCGCCACCCUCCCCGUGUCCCUGAAAGUGCCGCUCUUGCCACAAAAAAAACUCCUCAGCUCCGCGAUUUUGGUGUUGGUGGAGUUUUCCUACUUUUAUUUUUACUCCUCGGUGGAGGCUGGGGAGGAAAUCGGGGCUGCGGAGCCGAGCACAGAGCGGGGCUUAACUUUAGUCUGAUGUGCUUAGCUGAAGUAUUAACUGUGAGAAAUACCACCGAGCUCCACAGGAAAGAAAAUAUCGUCAGAUAUUUGAACAUUUCCAGUCUGCAGCAUCAGCACCGCUCCCAGCUCCAGGACCAGCGGUGCUGAUCGUCCCCGGAGGAAUCCCCCGGAUUUCUUUUUUUCCCUGUAACUACAGCUCCCAAGUGUGGCUGUACACACACAGCCGCUCACGCACGCAAAUCCUAUAAAUGCUAAUAAAACAGAUUCCUCAGGAUUUGUUUAACUUGCC
rnacentral:lncRNA from 1 species